UGUGUAUAGACUCAGCAGUCUGUGUGUGUGUGUAUGGACUCAGCAGAGCCUGUGUGUGUGUACGGACUCAGCAGAGCCUGUGUGUGUGUACGGACUCAGCAGAGCCUGUGUGUGUGUACGGACUCAGCAGAGUCUGUGUGUGUGUGUACGGACUCAGCAGAGUCAGUGUGUGUGUAUGGACUCAGCAGUCUGUGUGUGUGUGUGUGUGUG
rnacentral:lncRNA from 1 species